rnacentral:rRNA from 1 species
CAUCGAUGAAGAACGCAGCGAAAUGCGAUAAGUAAUGUGAAUUGCAGAAUUCAGUGAAUCAUCGAAUCUUUGAACGCACAUUGCGCCCGCUAGUAUUCUGGCGGGCAUGCCUGUUCGAGCGUCAUUUCAACCCCUCAAGCCCCUAAAUUGCUGGCUGGCUUGGUGUUGGGGCGAUCCCGCAGCACGCCUAGGCCCUCUGUGGCUUAGGGAGCGGGCCCCCUAAAGUCAUUGGCGGACCCCCUGUGGACUCCGAGCGCAGUAGUUCUAACGUCUCGCUCUGGUGGACCGGGGCGGUAUUCUAGCCACUAAACCCCCUAUAUUUAUACAAGGUUGACCUCGGAUCAGGUAGGAAUACCCGCUGAACUUAAGCAUAUCAAUAAGCGGAGGAAAAGAAACCAACAGGGAUUGCCCUAGUAACGGCGAGUGAAGCGGCAACAGCUCAAAUUUGAAAUCUGGCCUCCAGGCCCGAGUUGUAAUUUGGAGAGGAUGCUUCUGGUGCGGCGCUAUCUGAGUUCCCUGGAACGGGACGCCAUAGAGGGUGAGAGCCCCGUAGAGAUAGAAGCCUAGCCUCUGUGUAGCUCCUUCGACGAGUCGAGUAGUUUGGGAAUGCUGCUCAAAAUGGGAGGUAAAUUUCUUCUAAAGCUAAAUACCGGCCAGAGACCGAUAGCGCACAAGUAGAGUGAUCGAAAGAUGAAAAGCACUUUGAAAAGAGGGUUAAACAGCACGUGAAAUUGUUGAAAGGGAAGCGCCUAUGACCAGACUUGCGCCCAGCGGAUCAUCCAGCGUUCUCCGCUGGUGCACUCCGCUGGGCUCAGGCCAGCAUCGGUUCCUCUAGUGGGAUAAAGGCGCUGGGAACGUGGCUCCCCUCGGGGAGUGUUAUAGCCCAGCGUGCAAUGCCUCUA